rnacentral:rRNA from 1 species
GAUUUCUGGUAUUUGUGGGGCUGGUCCGUGCCCUCUGGGUUUCGUGUAUCAGUUUCUACUUGCCAUCCUUCCAAGAAAGUGGCUAUGCCGUAAAACGUGUAGUUUCACGCUUGGAUCUUUUACUUUGAAAAAAUUAGAGUGUUUAAAGCAGGCUUACGCUAUGAAUACAUUAGCAUGGAAUAAUGAUUUAGGACUUUUGUCCUUUUGUUGGUUUUCUAGGACGAAAGUAAUGAUUGAUAGGGAUAGUUGGGGGUGCUAGUAUUUCGUCAACAGAGGUGAAAUUCUUGGACCGACGAAAGACUAACUUAUGCGAAAGCAUU